rnacentral:rRNA from 1 species
AUACGGAGGAUCCGAGCGUUAUCCGGAUUUAUUGGGUUUAAAGGGUGCGCAGGCGGGAGAUUAAGUCGGCGGUGAAAUUUUGCAGCUCAACUGUAAAAGUGCCUUCGAAACUGGUUUCCUUGAGUGGAGAUGAAGUAGGCGGAAUUUGUGGGGGAGCGGUGAAAUGCAUAGAUAUCACGAGGAACUCCGAUUGCGCAGGCAGCUUACUAAACUACUACUGACGCUCAGGCACGAAGGCGUGGGGAUCAAACAGGAUUAGAUACCCUGGUAGUCCACGCAGUAAACGAUGAUUACUAGCUGUUUGCGAUACAAUGUAAGCGGCUGAGCGAAAGCGUUAAGUAAUCCACCUGGGGAGUACGUUCGCAAGAAUGAAACUCAAAUGAAUUGACGGGG